CCGAAGGAGCGGUUGAUCCCAGUCACAUGAACGGGAUUCUUCCGUGGCUCGCUCGGUUUCCUCGCCUUGUCUUGGAAACGCACCUUAUGGCGGGGGGUUACCGUCAGGAAUAACGUCUUGGACUUGGAGGGUUGCUGUAAGAGAAGACGCGGCUGGCGAGACUUGGAAUCCUUUAUCUCUAGGCCUUUAGAAACAAAGCAGAUGAGAGGAAAAUGGCGGGAGGUGGAAGAGAGGAAAACGGGGGAAAGAGAAGAUAAAAACCACACAUGUAUUAGGAAACGAGAGAGAAAGAGAGAGAGGGGUAGACGGCGGUCUUUCAUCAAACGCCUGCUUUUUCAGGCGCUGUAGAUUCAUCGCCUUUUUGGGAAUUAUGUGAAUUCAUGGCUUCAGACAUCUGGCCAGUUUAGUGCACAAUUUCUUCUGUUGUGGUGCAGAAGAUCUUUUUAGAUAAACUUGAGAAGAAUCGGCGCCUCUUUCUUUCUGUUGCAAUUCUGUGGCUGCUCUUGAGGAGCAAGAUUCGGGAAGCCUGGAAUUUUCUGACAUGGAUGUCAUCUCUACAUCUUGCCCGCCUGCCUGCUGUUGAUUGGCAAUGGAGAGGAUUUAGUUGCUUUAAAAAAAAAAAAAGCAUACAAGUAUUCUACAGUAUUCCUUAAAAGCAUCGAAGCAGCUUAUACAUCUAUUUUUUUUUACUAUUAUUAGCCUUGUUAUCUUUACAGUGACAACCAAAAGUCACUGGUUGAAUGAAGAUUUGAAUCUGAAUCUGCAAUUAAAGUUGUUUCACAACAUGCUUACCUGUAGCUAGCUAAACCAUGGUUUCCUGAAUUGCUCCAAUUGUGUGUCCUUGCUCAACAUAUGUUGAACCACUAGAUAACCACGUUUGGCUAGAUCCACACACAGCAGGUGGAGUCAUAAACUAACCAAGGGCACUCUGGAGAAGUAUCUGCAGUGCCACCUUGUUGCAUAAGACUGGGAGAUGUUAUGUAAGUCAGUCUGCUUCAGAGUGUGUCAGCCACAGCAUUCCUAGCCCCUACACAGAGGCUUCAUGAGUGUCGUUUGGUAUAGCUAAUAUGAAACUAUAUACGAAACUCGGUCUUGGCUACGUGAGUGAGUGUGUCACUGAAAGAUACCAUCAACAGAAGAGGAGGACUUCUUCCUAUCCACAAAAUGCACUAACUAGUUUUGGGUGGGGGUGUCAGAGUUUGUUGCAGAAAUCACUUCCAGAAAGCAAACACAGAUAACUGAUUCAGCAGGAUUCGUUAACUUCUUUAUAUACAUAAUAACACAUGUGUAAAUGUACAAUACCAAUAGCAGAUUCUUCCAAUGUGGUAGCAGUUACAAGCAAAACACAAGCAGAGUACAGCCGACUAGUUUCAGUUCUCAGCACACAGACUAGACCAGACUUGUUUGCUAAGCCACGCCCAGGCUCCCAACUGGUUUCAGCUUCCAUUGGCUGACUUAGUUGCUAUGCCUAUUCAUUGGCUGACCUUGUUACCAUGUCUUCCCAGUUAUGAAUACUCUGACAGGGGGAGCAUGCAGGGCCUCAAGGUAUUUUACAUGAAACUUUUUCAUAUAUUCCUCUGAAGCUCUUGUGGGGAGCGGGAUAGAGCUAUACAAACUGGUCCUAUCCAUAAACGGUGAUGAAACUAUAAAAUAAAGUAUAAAAUGU